rnacentral:rRNA from 1 species
AUUGAACGCUGGCGGCAGGCCUAACACAUGCAAGUCGAGCGGAGCGGCGGACGGGUGAGUAAUGCCUAGGAAUCUGCCUGGUAGUGGGGGAUAACGUCCGGAAACGGGCGCUAAUACCGCAUACUAUCAGAUGAGCCUAGGUCGGAUUAGCGAGUUGGUGGGGUAAAGGCCCACAAAGGCGACGAUCCGUACCUGGUCUGAGAGGAUGUUCAGUCACACUGGAACGGAGACACGGUCCAGCCUCCUACGGGAGGCAGCAUGGGGAAAUAUUGGACAUUGAGCGAAGUCCUGACGCAGCCAUGCCGCGUGUGUGAAGAAGUCCUUCGGGUUGUAAAGCACUUUCAGCGGGGAGGCGUUACCCGCAGAAGAAGCAACGGCUAACUCCGUGCCAGCAGCCGCGGUAAUAC